ensembl:lncRNA
AGCUUGGGGAGACGCUCUUCACCAGAGGGCGGUGGGCGUAGAGCACGCUUUCCAGCGUUCACACGGCAGAACUGCCGGAGUUCAAGGAACGUUUGGAUAAUGCCCUCAGAUGUAGGGUUUGAAUUUCGGCUGUUCUGUAUGGAGCCAUAAGCUGGGCUCGGUCGUUGUGUGUCCCCUCCAACUCGGGUUUUUCUAUGAUUCUGUGAACAGGCAAAGCCAAAGACGGUGCCAGGCAAGCCUGCAGUUCAGGAAAUGAAGAAAUUUACUGGCAGCGGAGCACCAGAGAAGAUUUUUCAUCUUGAUAAAGAGAUCUGGGAGUUCCUUUGAACUGCGGUGUCCCCCUAAAAGUCCAAUUGUAUGCAUAUUACCUAGUUCCCUUCAAAGAACAUGGCCUCUUGCCACAGCUAAGGAAUGUAAGUCAGACUACCCUGAGAGGCAAAAGAUGUGUGGAAAUGAGAAGCAUGCAGAUGACCAAGCUGAGAGAUCCUUCAACAGAUCUCGCAGUGGCUGCCAGUCAGUGGGACAGAAUGUAGCAGAGAGACUAUGAUAACAAGGCUGGACAGAAUAGUGAAAGCCCUUCAUACACAGAGGUCCAGUUGUCAAUCAUUGUCAGGUUCACACAGCUGAAGAUAAGACUCACUUUCACCUGCCAACACAGUGGUAGCCAUGAAGUUUUGCAAACUGAACUCAAGAUAACUGUUUCCUGAAAGAGAGGUGCUCACGCAGAGCUGUGGGAGCAUGCAGGGACUUUGAAAUAACCUAAACCUAGAUACAUAGGCCUCACUGCAAGCAGGCUAUUGAAAAGGAGGAGACAGAUGCUGCUGAUUGCAGACCCAGGGUGUGAAAACAUUGCAGUAGUGUAGGGAUUCUGCAGAGCUGCCAGUGUUAGAUUCCUGGAACAUUCCUGGAACUGAGUUGCAGCUAGCGCCACAAAUGUAAAUUAGAUUCUCACCUACUGUUGAAUUUGCAGCUUAAACAAAACAAAAUGUAAAACAACCACAGCCUUACAGAGAGACUGGUAAUGAAACGAUAGCAUGAAGAUUUUGUCGACCUUUUUUAACAAAGCAGGUAUUACAUCAUAAAUAAUAGAAGUUAUGUAAGAAUGCAUGAGUACCUCUGUCAUGUACGUCAGAGGAUAGUUAUUAAGUUAUCUUGGCAUCCUAAAGCUACGGAACAAACAUGUCAUUCACCUCGUAGGUUUCUGGUACAGAAAUGAGAGGGUUGCUG